rnacentral:rRNA from 1 species
CUUGGUCAUUUAGAGGAAGUAAAAGUCGUAACAAGGUUUCCGUAGGUGAACCUGCGGAAGGAUCAUUCAUAAUAAGUGUUUUAUGGCACUUUUUAAAUCCAUAUCCACCUUGUGUGCAAUGUCAGUCGAUCUUCUUCAUGGAGAUCGGCCAAACAUCAACCUUAUUUUUUAACUCUUUGUCUGAAAAAUAUUAUGAAUAAACAAUUCAAAAUACAACUUUCAACAACGGGUCUCUUGGCUCUCGCAUCGAUGAAGAACGCAGCGAAAUGCGAUACGUAAUGUGAAUUGCAGAAUUCAGUGAAUCAUCGAAUCUUUGAACGCAUAUUGCGCUCUUUGGUAUUCCGAAGAGCAUGCUUGUUUGAGUAUCAGUAAACACCUCAAAGCUUUUGGAUUUUUUUUGAAAGCUUUGGACUUGAGCAAUCCCAACGCCAAUCUUUUUCAGAUCGGCGGCGGGUUGCUUGAAAUGCAGGUGCAGCUGGACUUUCUCCUGAGCUAAAAGCAUAUUCAUUUAGUCCCGUCAAACGGAUUAUUACUUUUGCUGCAGCUAACAUAAAGGGAGUUUGACCGUAUUGGCUGACUGAUGCAGGAUUUUACAAGGGUCGGCAACGAUUCUUGUUAAACUCGAUCUCAAAUCAAGUAAGACUACCCGCUGAACUUAAGCAUAUCAAUAAGCGGAGGA